rnacentral:rRNA from 1 species
UGGGGAAUAUUGGACAAUGGGGGAAACCCUGAUCCAGCCAUGCCGCGUGAGUGAUGAAGGCCCUAGGGUUGUAGAGCUCUUUUGUGCGGGAAGAUAAUGACGGUACCGCAAGAAUAAGCCCCGGCUAACUUCGUGCCAGCAGCCGCGGUAAUACGAAGGGGGCUAGCGUUGCUCGGAAUAACUGGGCGUAAAGGGUGCGUAGGCGGAUCUUUAAGUCAGAGGUGAAAGCCUGGAGCUCAACUCCAGAACUGCCUUUGAUACUGGGGAUCUUGAGUUCGGGAGAGGUAAGUGGAACUGCGAGUGUAGAGGUGAAAUUCGUAGAUAUUCGCAAGAACACCAGUGGCGAAGGCGGCUCACUGGCCCGAUACUGACGCUGAGGCACGAAAGCGUGGGGAGCAAACA